rnacentral:rRNA from 1 species
ACUCAAAUGAAUUGACGGGGGCCCGCACAAGCGGUGGAGCAUGUGGUUUAAUUCGAUGCAACGCGAAGAACCUUACCUGCCCUUGACAUCCACGGGAUUUUGCAGAGAUGCGAAAGUGCCGAAAGGAACCGUGAGACAGGUGCUGCAUGGCUGUCGUCAGCUCGUGUUGUGAGAUGUUGGGUUAAGUCCCGUAACGAGCGCAACCCUUGCCCCUAGUUACCAGCGCGUAAAGGCGGGGACUCUAGGGGGACCGCCGGUGAUGAACCGGAGGAAGGCGGGGACGACGUCAAGUCAUCAUGGCCUUUAUGGGCAGGGCCACACACGUGCUACAAUGGGCGGUACAGAGGGCGGCCAACCCGCAAGGGGGAGCCAAUCCCAGAAAGCCGUUCGUAGUCCGGAUUGGGGUCUGCAACUCGACCCCAUGAAGUCGGAAUCGCUAGUAAUCGCGAAUCAGAAUGUCGCGGUGAAUACGUUCCCGGGCCUUGCACACACCGCCCGU